UACGAAGGGGGCUAGCGUUGUUCGGAAUUACUGGGCGUAAAGCGCACGUAGGCGGAAUGUUAAGUCAGGGGUGAAAUCCCGGGGCUCAACCCCGGAACUGCCUUUGAUACUGGCAUUCUCGAGUCCGGAAGAGGUGAGUGGAAUUCCGAGUGUAGAGGUGAAAUUCGUAGAUAUUGGGAAGAACACCGGUGGCGAAGGCGGCUCACUGGCUCGUAUCUGACGCUCAGGCGCGACAGCGUGGGGAUCAAACAGG
rnacentral:rRNA from 1 species